rnacentral:rRNA from 1 species
AUACGGAGGGUGCAAGCGUUGUGCGGAUUUAUUGGGUUUAAAGGGUGUGUAGGCGGUGUAUUAAGUCAGUGGUGAAAGCCUGCGGCUCAACCGUAGAACUGCCAUUGAUACUGACACACUUGAGUAUGGACGAGGUAGGCGGAAUUUAUGGUGUAGCGGUGAAAUGCAUAGAUACCAUAAAGAACACCGAUAGCGAAGGCAGCUUACUAGGCCAUAACUGACGCUGAGGCACGAAAGCGUGGGGAGCGAACAGGAUUAGAUACCCGAGUAGUCC